UCAUGUAUGUCAUCUGUGCCAAGUGUUGGUCUUGUAAGAUAUGUCAUAUGUUUGUUACUUUUGGUUCAGGUGAGACUGUUACGUCCCCUGCCAUACAUAAGAGAAAUAUCCAGUCCUUCCAGGAUUUUGCGAUCACAAGAAUACUUGCAAAUUCAGCUUACAAUUUUUUUAAAUAUAAUGCUUGAAAAGCCUGAAGCAAUCGCAACAUAUCCAAAUGCACAGCUGCCGUUGUAUCAUCUCCAUAGUAACAGUAAGUGUCUCUGCCUCGUCUCCUCCACAUUUUGCGUUCACUAUCAAAAUCCUUGUCUAAACUUUCACGGGACCGCAGAAAGCACAAAUAGGCUACAUCACAGCUAGCGUUGCAGCGAAUGAGACACAAAACCUGCGUUUAUACUCAGAAAUCCUAAUGUACUCUUAAAAUCUCCAUUAGUUGUGUAGUAAAAUGUGAUUAGAAGUUGAAGUGCUUAAUACAGUAGGUUAUGAAUCUAGCAAUAUAUGCUGAACACGUAUGCUGAAAAUAAAUGUUCAUAAAUAUUUUUACCGAUAUAAAAAAGGUCACAUAUAUACAGUAUAUGGAACAUAUAUUUCAAAAUAUGACACAAAUUGCCAUUUUCAUAUACUGUAUGCAACAUAUAUUUUGAAACACCUGUGGAAUUUAAAUUUGUACAUAAAUGCCCAAAUAUGUGAAUUCUAAUUAUAUUUGUAUAUGACCAGAUUUCAAUAUCAGACAAUGCAAUAAUUACAACAAGCCUAAUGAAUCCUCAUUUGUGUUUUUAAUUUACAGAUUUAUUGCACGUCUAUUUUAAACUUAGAGAAGUUUUCUUGCAUUGUCUGAGGCAGAAAAUGUUAAUACAAAAGUAAUUAAGGGUCUUCCCAUACCCACAGGUUUCAGCUAAAUGUAUGGUAGCCUGUUUUUGUGUGUAUUUUUUUUUUUCUUGCUAACUGCAUAUUCAGUUAUUGUGCACUAAAAUAUUUAUAUGUAAUUGCAUAUAUAAUGUAAUUAACACAAUUACAGAGGUAUUUAAAGAUGAUUUGUGAGGUUUCACUGCAAAACAACACCAAAAAAUGCUGCAAAUGGCAUUGCAAAAUUUUAGCAAAACCGCUGCAAAUUGUCAUUUUGGGCUGCAAAAUCAGGAAAAAGUGCUGUGAAGUCCUGGCGGGACUGAAUAACAAUAAAACGACUUGCACUUGAACGUAAAGAUUCAAACUGAGGCUGCUGAAGAGUAAAAUAUUAAUGGGGCAGAGAGUAAAGCCUAAAUUUUUACACUUAAGCCCCACCCAUUCCAGCGAAAAUGCUUUGUCCAUGGAUCGAGAGGGAAACGCAAAGAACGGUGAUGCAUCAAGAGGGUGAUGCAAAGAACUGUGACGGAUAGAGAGGGUGUCUCAAAGAACUGUGACGGCUCGAGAGGGUGACGCAAAGAACUGUGACGGAUUGAGAGGGUGACGCAAAGAAAGGUAACGGAUCGAGAGGGAGGUGCAAUAACUGUGACACAUUGAGAGGGAGAUGCAAAGCAUGGUGACUCAUUGAGAGGGAGAUGCAAAGAGUGGUUACGCAUCGAGAGGGAGACGCAAAGACCAGUGAAGCAUCGAGAGGGAGACGUAAUUAACUGACACAUCAAGAGGGAAACGCAAAGAACGGUGACACAUCGUGAGGGAGAUGCAAAGUACGGUGACGCAUCGUGAGGGAGAUGCAAAUUACGGUGACACAUCGAGAGGGAGACGCAAAGAACGGAGAAACAUCGAGAGGGAGAUGCAUAGAACGGUGAACAAUCGAGAGGGAGACUCGAAGACCUGUGAAGCAUUGAGAGGGAGACGCAACUAACUGUGACACAUUGAGAGGGAGACGCAAAGACCGGUGAAGCAUUGAGAGGGAGACGCAACUAACUGUGAUGCAUCGAGAGGGAGACGCAAAGAAAGGUGACGCAUCGAGAGGGAGACGCAAAGAACGGUUACUCAUCGAGAGGGAGACGCAACUAACUGAUGCAUCCAGAGGGUGACGCAAAGAAAGGUGACACAUCGAGAGGGAGACGCAAAGAACGGUGACGGAUCAAGUGGGAGACUCAAAGAAAUGUGACGCAUCGUGAGUGAGAUGCAACGAGAGGGAGACGCAAAGAACGGUGACGGAUCGAGAGGGAAACGCAAAGAACGGUGACACAUCGUGAGGGAGAUGCAAAGUACGGUGACGCAUCGUGAGGGAGAUGCAAAGUACGGUGACGCAUCGUGAGGGAGAUGCAAAUUACGGUGACGCAUCGAGAGGGAGACGCAAAGAAUGGUGACGGAUCGAGAGGGAAACGCAAAGAAAGGUGACAUCGUGAGGGAGACGCAAAAAACGGUGAUGCAUCGAGAGGGAGAUGCAAAGAAUGGUGACGGAUCGAGAGGGAAACACAAAGAAAGGUGACGCAUCGUGAGUGAGACGCAAAGAACGGUGACGCAUCGAGAGGGAGAUGGAAAGAACGGUGACGAAUCAAGUGGGAGACUCAAAGUAAGGUGACGCAUCGUGAGUGAGAUGCAAAGAACAGUGACGCAUCGAGAGGGAGACGCAAAGAAUGGUGACGGAUCGAGAGGGAAACGCAAAGAAAGGUGACACAUCGUGAGGGAGACGCAAAAAACGGUGACGCAUCGAGAGGGAGAUGCAAAGAAUGGUGACGGAUCGAGAGGGAAACACAAAGAAAGGUGACGCAUCGUGAGUGAGACGCAAAGAAUGGUGACGCAUCGAGAGGGAGACGGAAAGAACGGUGACGGAUCAAGUGGGAGACUCAAAGAAAUGUGACGCAUCGUGAGUGAGAUGCAACGAGAGGGAGACGCAAAGAACGGUGACGGAUCGAGAGGGAAACGCAAAGAACGGUGACGCAUCGUGAGUGAGAUGCAAAGAACGGUGACACAUCGUGAGGGAGAUGCAAAAUACGGUGACGCAUCGAGAGGGAGACGCAAAGAAUGGUGACGGAUCGAGAGGGAAAUGCAAAGAAAGGUGACACAUCGUGAGGGAGACGCAAAAAACGGUGACGCAUCGAGAGGGAGAUGCAAAGAAUGGUGACGGAUCGAGAGGGAAACACAAAGAAAGGUGACGCAUCGUGAGUGAGACGCAAAGAAUGGUGACGCAUCGAGAGGGAGACGGAAAGAACGGUGACGAAUCAAGUGGGAGACUCAAAGUAAGGUGACGCAUCGUGAGUGAGAUGCAAAGAACAGUGACGCAUCGAGAGGGAGACGCAAAGAAUGGUGACGGAUCGAGAGGGAAAUGCAAAGAAAGGUGACACAUCGUGAGGGAGACGCAAAAAAUGGUGACGCAUCGAGAGGGAGAUGCAAAGAAUGGUGACGGAUCGAGAGGGAAACACAAAGAAAGGUGACGCAUCGUGAGUGAGACGCAAAGAAUGGUGACGCAUCGAGAGGGAGACGGAAAGAACGGUGACGAAUCAAGUGGGAGACUCAAAGUAAGGUGACACAUCGUGAGUGAGAUGCAAAGAACAGUGACGCAUCGAGAGGGAGACGCAAAGAAUGGUGACGGAUCGAGAGGGAAACGCAAAGAAAGGUGACGCAUCGUGAGUGAGAUGCAAAGAACGGUGACACAUCGUGAGGGAGAUGCAAAAUACGGUGACGCAUCGAGAGGGAGACGCAAAGAAUGGUGACGGAUCGAGAGGGAAACGCAAAGAAAGGUGACACAUCGUGAGGGAGACGCAAAAAACGGUGAUGCAUCGAGAGGGAGAUGCAAAGAAUGGUGACGGAUCGAGAGGGAAACACAAAGAAAGGUGACGCAUCGUGAGUGAGAUGGAAAGAACGGUGACGCAUCGAGAGGGAGAUGGAAAGAACGGUGACGGAUCAAGUGGGAGACUCAAAGAAAGGUGACGCAUCGUGAGUGAGAUGCAAAGAAUGGUGACGCAUCGAGAGGGAGACGCAAAGAACGGUGACGGAUUGAGAGGGAAACGCAAAGAAAGGUGACACAUCGUGAGGGAGACGCAAAAAACGGUGAUGCAUCGAGAGGGAGAUGCAAAGAAUGGUGACAGAUCGAGAGGGAAACACAAAGAACGGUGACGCAUCGAGAGGGAGACACAAAGAACGGUGACGCAUCGAGAGGGAGACGCAAAGAACGGUGACGGAUCGAGAGGGAAACGCAAAGAAAGGUGACGCAUCGUGAGUGAGAUGCAAGGACCGGUGAAGCAUCGAGAGGGAGACGCAAAGAACGGUGACGGAUCGAGUGGGAGACUCAAAGAAAGGUGACACAUCGUGAGUGAGAUGCAAAGAAUGGUGACGCAUCGUGAAGGAGACGCAAAGGACGGUGAUGCAUCGAGAGGGAGAUGCAAAGUAUGGUGACGGAUCGAGAGGGAAACGCAAAGAAAGGUGACGCAUCGUGAGUGAGAUGCAAGGACCGGUGAAGCAUCGAGAGGGAGACGCAAAGAACGGUGACGGAUCGAGUGGGAGACUCAAAGAAAGGUGACACAUCGUGAGUGAGAUGCAAAGAAUGGUGACGCAUCGUGAAGGAGACGCAAAGGACGGUGAUGCAUCGAGAGGGAGAUGCAAAGUAUGGUGACGGAUCGAGAGGGAAACACAAAGGUGACGCAUCGUGAGUGAGAUGCAAAGAACGGUGACUGAUCAAGUGGGAGACUCAAAGAACGGUGACGCAUCGAGAGGGAAACGCAAAGAAAGGUGACGCAUCGUGAGUGAGAUGCAAAGAACGGUGACGCAUCGAGAGGGAGACGCAAAGAACGGUGACGGAUCAAGAAGGAAACGCAAAGAAAGGUGACGCAUUGUGAGUGAGAUGCAAAGAACGGUGACGCAUCGUGAAGGAGAUGGAAAGAACGGUGACGCAUAGAAAAGUGACGCAUCGUGAGGGAGACGCAAGGAACGGUGACGUAUUGAGAGGGAGACACAAAUAAAGGUGACGCAUAAAGAGGGAGAUGCAAAUAAAGGUGACUCAUCGAGAGGGAGAUGCAAAGAACGGUGACUGAUCGAGAGGGAGACGCAAAGAAAGGUGACGCAUUGUGAGGGAGACGCAAGGACCGGUGAAGCAUCGAGAGGGAGACGGAAAGAACGGUG